rnacentral:rRNA from 1 species
GCAGUCGAGCGAACAGAUAAGGAGCUUGCUCCUUUGACGUUAGCGGCGGACGGGUGAGUAACACGUGGGUAACCUACCUAUAAGACUGGGAUAACUUCGGGAAACCGGAGCUAAUACCGGAUAACAUUUGGAACCGCAUGGUUCUAAAGUGAAAGAUGGUUUUGCUAUCACUUAUAGAUGGACCCGCGCCGUAUUAGCUAGUUGGUAAGGUAACGGCUUACCAAGGCGACGAUACGUAGCCGACCUGAGAGGGUGAUCGGCCACACUGGAAGUGAGACACGGUCCAGACUCCUACGGGAGGCAGCAGUAGGGAAUCUUCCGCAAUGGGCGAAAGCCUGACGGAGCAAC